rnacentral:lncRNA from 1 species
GCCACGUGACUUUCUUUGCCCAGCGGAAUGCUAAAAAUGGUGCCUGUCUCGGUCACUUUUCCCCUGGCGGGCAAAAUACCAAACACUUGAAAUUUUAAGGAAGAGAGGUUUAUUUUGGCCCAGGUUCUGUCCAGGGCCUGUUGUCUCCAAAGAAGGAGCAGCAAGGCGCAGAGGUGUGGUGGAGGAAAGCUGCUUGCUGGGUGUGGGGUGGACAGAAAGCAGAGUCCAGGGAGCAGCCGGGAGGGAACUAAACCACUCCCCACCCCCGUGAGCCGCCUGUUGCCAUCAGCAGCCAGCUGUGGAAGCGCUCUCUUGCUGCUGAGACUCUGUUCUCCACCUUGUAAACCAAGCCCAACUCGGCCUCCUGAAGGGGGAAAGAACAUGAAGAUACUGAUUGUUCUGAAUCUCGCAUCAUCAGUUCACAAGACACCUGUGGUCUAUUGCCCAGCAAACCUCCAUCCCCGUUCUUCUCCAGAGAGCUCGUCACUCACAUCCACAGUGUUCUGAGAGAAGCCCUCUGCACAACCCAGCCCUACACCCUGGCCACAGUGUGCCCUGGUGGAGGGCAUCUGACUCAGGGGAACAGAGGCCUCAAUCUGCAGUCAAAGAAAAGAAAGAUGCUCAGAAAGGAACAGAGAAGAGAUGCAGACCAUAACAAAGACAACUGCUGUCUCAGCUGCUGCUGGCUACCAUCUCACCACCGUGAAAAACAGCAAGCCUGGGGACAAAAGCUGAGAUGAUGAGGAGGACAAAGCCAGGAGAAAGAGAAAAGGAGCCAGCACCCCCUCCACUGUCCCAUGGCCUUGCUGGUCUCCCUAUGUAGUUCAACCUGGCCUUGAGCUCUUGAACUUGCAGUGAUCCUCCUGUCUCAGCCUCCUGAGUGCUAGGAUUACAGGAGCUCAUUGGUAUGAGUUUGCCUGAGUCUCUGAGGAGACUUCCAAGUUGGACUUUUGAGAAAUGCUGAAGCUGAUGAGGCUUUAGUGACUCUUGGAAAUAGACUGAAUGGAUCUUGCAUAAUAAAAUGGACAUGUGGGCCGGGGAUUUAGUUCAGUGGUUUCGCCGCCUGCUGCGCAAGCGCAAGGACCUAAGUUCGAUCCCCGGUACCAAAAAAAAAAAA